rnacentral:tmRNA from 1 species
GGGGGCGUAAAGGUUUCGACGGGGAUCCUGAGGCAGGUUCAGCGAGCAGAGGCGCCCGACCUCUAUAAAACGAGCAACCUUAAAACAAACGACGAAUCUAAUUUCGCGUACGCGGCCUAACUAAGGCUGCCGUCUUUCCCGGGAGGGCCACGGCCCGGAGAGAGGCGUGGAUCAGUGGCGUCCGUGAGUACGGUAAGCUUUGCCCGUGCCAUGCAUCAUGAAGCUACCAAGGGCUGAAGACUGACGGCCGCCGUCAGCUCAAGGGAACGCAAACGACCGUCUGCGCUCGGAGAAAGACCUGUGGACGGGUUUUCGGACAGGGGUUCGAUUCCCCUCGCCUCCACCA